UACAGAGGUCUCAAGCGUUGUCCGGAUUUAUUGGGCGUAAAGGAUGCGUAGGCGGACAUUUAAGUCAGAUGUGAAAUACCCGAGCUUAACUUGGGUGCUGCAUUUGAAACUGGGUGUCUAGAGUGCAGGAGAGGUAAGUGGAAUUCCUAGUGUAGCGGUGAAAUGCGUAGAGAUUAGGAAGAACACCAGUGGCGAAGGCGACUUACUGGACUGUAACUGACGCUGAGGCAUGAAAGCGUGGGGAGCAAACAGG
rnacentral:rRNA from 1 species